GUGCCAGCCGCCGCGGUAAUACGGAGGAGGCAAGCGUUAUCCGGAAUUAUUGGGCGUAAAGCGUCCGCAGGUGGCUCGCUCAAGUCUGCUGUCAAAGACCGGGGCUUAACUCCGGAAAGGCAGUGGAAACUGACAAGCUAGAGGGCUCUAGGGGUAGAGGGAAUUCCCGGUGUAGCGGUGAAAUGCGUAGAGAUCGGGAAGAACAUCGGUGGCGAAAGCGCUCUACUGGAGAGCAACUGACACUCAGGGACGAAAGCUAGGGGAGCGAAUGGGAUUAGAAACCCGCGUAGUCC
rnacentral:rRNA from 1 species